rnacentral:tRNA from 1 species
GGCGACGUAGCCAAGAGGUAAGGCCGCGGCCUGCAAAGCCGCUAUCACCGGUUCGAGUCCGGUCGUCGCCUCCA